ensembl:lncRNA
AAUCAGUAUCACGUUUGAUAAAAUCACCCAAGAUGCUUAAGAGAUUAAGAGUGUAAUAUUUUUCUCUAGGAAGCCCAGGCCUUUGAAAUAUUCAGCAACUUCAGCUCUUAAGAUAAUGGCCAAUAAUGUGAUAAUGCUUCAUAUUAUAGCACCUAUACACUUUUAAGCCAAAUAUAUUGGGAACACAGAGUCAUUCUCAGUGCCUCGUUUGCCUAUUCUGCAUUAUAGAGAGCCACUGGACCAAAGCAGAUUUCAUUAAGUGUUCCUAAUUUAUUCUGCCUUGUCGCUCUUUUGUAAACAGGGGAUGUCACCAGACAGCAAAGCAUUUAGUCCAAAAAGAGUAUCGUGUGUGACUAUACAAAUUCAACAUACGACCAAGGUAAGACUACUCAUUAGCCACUGAAAUCCCUCAGAACUACGAGAUAGGAGCUGUUCUUUACUGAGUAGAGCGUAGUGUCCUCACAAGCAUUUAUUUUCCUUUACAACUUCCCCUUGAAAAGGUUUCAGACAGCCAACAGUAUGGCUUAAAUCCCAAACUAGGUCAGCGCGAAAUUUCCAUCCAUAUUUUGGUUCCUUACUUUGUGGUUUCUCUUUUCGUCUUUCCUUUUGAUCACAGCAACAGAAACAACAUUUUAUCCAUUUUUACUAGAAAAAAAAAAGAAGUAACAUAGCCAGAAAGCCAGGGCACCAGAGCAAUAGAAGAAGCCAAAAUGAGCCGGAAAAACAAAAGGAGUUUAAAGGAGAAAUUUGCCUUGAAGAACAGCUUGGUUAAAGAAGCCCUUUCAGAAUUCCUGGGAACUUUUAUACUGAUACAGCGUGGUUACUGCCUGACAAACACUGCACAGCCUUGAAUGAAUUGCUGCUGUUUAUGGUAAGUUUGUAAUUCCUUUCUUCACCUGAUGUAAUUAUCACCGGCUGUUAAACACUCAUAGUUUUACGUAUUACAACUGUCUGAUAAACAUUUGAUUUUUAAAGGAGCAGAAUUUGAGUGAACAGCCACGUUCUAAAAAGUUCAGACGCAAUGAAUGUUAGCAAUACUCCUGCAUUCUUUAACUCUGUAUUUUAUUCUACUUUCACUUCUAUGUACAAUUUCCAUUUGCUUUAACAACCCCACUGGACUGCACAUUUAGAAGAUAAUUUUAGCUGUUAUUUUCCUGUGCUCACAGAGACUGAUCCAUGUGACUUGUACUGAGCUUAUCAAGUUGUGCUGCCGAAUCUUUAGAGAUUUUGUAAAUUAACUAUUUUUUGUUUAGUUUUCAAUUGUAUUACAUAAAUUAUACAUUUGCUUGUUAUGUAGUCUGUUACAGUGUUACAUAAAGAGCAAAGCUCCACAUUUUCACAUCCCUAAUUUUUUUUUAAACUUCAUUUCUUGCUCAAGUUUUUGUGCAUUUUGUACUGGGACACAAAGCUGUCUGGUGAUUUACCAGGGUAGAGAGCAGUCUCAGCAACAGAGCUGGAAGUCAAGCAAAUAGAAUACUUAUGCCAAACUCUUUCUCCCUCCCGUUAGUCUGACAAAACAGUUCUGUUUAUUGCUAAAUAUUUCAUCGUAGUGAAAAGACAAAAAAUUAAAAAUAAGGCAUAGGACUCACAUAGUAUGUUUUAUAACUGGAACUGUAUUAGCUAAAUUUCAAGUAAGCCAUCUAAAAAAUUCCAGUAGCUCAUAAAAUACAUGAAAAUAAUGGUCUUUACUACGCUUCAGCCAAUUGAAGGGCAGAGGCACUAAAGUAACAUUAUUCUCAAAUUUAAUACCCUCCAUAAGACAUUACAGUAAGGAGCACAUUUAGAAGCAAGGAGCACAAAGCACUUUACAAACAUAAUGAAUUAAGUGUCACAA